AGCAUGUCCAUUAAGCGACCAGGAGUAGCUACAAUGAUGUGAACCCCUCUAAAGAUGACAAUAAUUUAUUACGAGAUACAGAAUUAGAAAGACAGGACUUUAUUCUGGGCAUCCCUUGCUGAGCUAAACAAUCGGCAAAAUGCUCUACUGUUUCGAGAAUUUGUUUCGCCAACUCACGUGAUGGGCACACAAUUAAGCCUGAAGUUUUAAAUUGAUAUUACAUUCAAUUCAAGGCAAAAACUUAACAUAAGAGCAAAAAACUUACCAAAUGGGCCUUCAUUCGGUAAAAAUGGCAUCUUAAGCUCUUGCUCUAAACUAAAUACAACAAUUGGCAAGACAAACACCAAAGUCUUGCCACUACCAGUAAAGGCUAUGCCAAUCAUGUCUCGACCACUCAACCUAAACAUUUCAAAGUAAAUAAGGUGAUGGCUGCUUGAUUCCUUUUUUCUGUAAACCAACCAAAAUUCCUUUGGGAAAUUUCAUGGCAUUAAAUGAUGGUAUAGGAAGUGGCAC